rnacentral:rRNA from 1 species
UACGUAGGGGGCAAGCGUUGUCCGGAAUCGUUGGGCGUAAAGAGCGUGUAGGCGGCCUUAUAAGUCGGCUGUGAAAGUCAAGGGCUCAACCCUUGAAUGCCGGCCGAUACUGUGAGGCUAGAGUCCGGAAGAGGCGAGUGGAAUUCCUGGUGUAGCGGUGAAAUGCGCAGAUAUCAGGAGGAACACCUGCGGUGUAGACGGCUUACUGGACCAUAACUGACGCUGAGGCACGAAAGCGUGGGUAGCAAACAGG